GUAGGCUAAUUAAGACACACGGUAGGUUAAUUCAGACACACGGUAGGCUAAUUCAGACAGACAGUAGGCUAAUUCAGACACACGGUAGGCUAAUUCAGACACACGGUAGGCUAAUUCAGACAGACAGUAGGCUAAUUCAGACUCACGGUAGGCUAAUUCAGACACACAGUAGGCUAAUUCAGACACACGGUAGGCUAAUUCAGACAGACAGUAGGCUAAUUCAGACACACGGUAGGCAAAUUCAGACAGACAAGGACAAUGAUCAGAUACAAAACCCAGUAUGUUGUCAUACCAGUUCAUCAUUCUGUGUUAUAUCAUUAUCAUCAUAUGGUCUAGAUUUCCACUACCAUCAUUAUCCUUAUGAAUCCUGCCAUUAUACCAGCCUGGUAUUGAAACCUGCCAUUAUACCAGCCUGGUAUUAAAACCUCCCAAUAUACCAGCCUGGUAUUGAAACCUG
rnacentral:lncRNA from 1 species